AAUCUGUCUGUAAUUAAAUGAACAAAAAAUGCUGCAUUUUAUUAAAUUAUUGCAGACGAAAAAUCUGUCUAUAAUUUAAACUUUUCCGUCGGAAAUAUUAAAAUAAAGAGAUGGGUCACUUUACUCCCAAUCCUUCAGUUCACUUUUUUUCCCGUUCUCCUUGAAUUACUCCAAUGCUUUCUCUUUCUCCAUUGAAGAUGUGACUUCCUCCACUGUCGCCGCCGCCGCCGCUCGCGACGCACGAGCUCCUUCCACCACCGCUCUCAAUGCGGUUGCUCCUUUCGUCGUCACACGAGCUCUCUCGGCCGUGCUCUUGUCUUACGAGCUCCCUCCGCCGCCACUCUCGCGCUGCUUCUUCUCUCCUCGUCGGAGGUUUGUCAUUGUCUCUUAUCGUCGCUGUUAGUUCAGAAUAUGAUCGAGGAGAGCUCUUAUGUUUGCAAAUCAGCUGUUGCUGUUGCAGAGAACGGAGUUUCUAAAUUCUAAGGUAUGAAUUUUUGUGAAUUGAAGCCUCUUCUCUUCCUCAACUCAAUGACAGUUCUUGAUUGCUUAAUUGAUCAAAGACUGUACAUUGGUUUGCCUGAUGCCAAGCAAAGAGUCCAAAUUUUUUGUGUGCAUAGUUCUGGAAAGCAACUUGCAGAGGAUGUUGAUUUUGAAAAGCUUGUCUUCCGAACUGUUGGAUUUUCAGGAGCAGAUAUAAGAAACCUUGUCAAUGAAGCAGCAAUAAUGAUGGUGGGUUUCUGCUGCAUUUGAUUUUAUUCUUUGUUGUGCUACUAACUUCCAUGGGUACUUAUCUAUCUAUCUAUCUCUAUUUGUUAGUAGAACCAUCUCAUCUGCUUCUUGUGACCUGAUGAACUGCUAUUGUUCCAAUCUUUAUAGAGUACUCAUUACUUGGGAACUUGUAGAUUUCAGAAUUGAACCAUUACUUUGUCCAUUAGUAAAACACGAUUUUGGGUUCAUUUUCCUCAUUUCUGUAUGUUCAUUGAAAGGACAGAUUAGGGUGACAGAGAUUAGAAUAAAUAACUUAAUAAAUUAUAACAUCUUCCAUUUUGAUUCAUCAAGUAUCCAACUGAGCUGUCUAGACGAGCCAAAAUUAACUCAGUAAUGGAUUGGCAACAUUCUAAUUUACGAAAUGGAGCAGGAAGAAAUAGUCUCUCCUCCCUGGUAGGUCUGUCCUUUUCAUGGGUGGCAUUAUCUUCAAGGUCUAGUGACUCUUUGAAGUUUGGCACUACCAUCAGUGGCAGGUCUAGUGUCAAUUGCAAAUGGUUGCACCGGAGAUGAUCAAGCAGGCAAAUCAAUGGUGCCACAUAAUGGUAGCAGGUAUUGGUUGCUGUCUUCACUUCAGUUUUAUUGCUCAGAGUUAUAAUAUGCUCUCUUCUUUAACAUGUAGUGAUUCGACUUGAUUCUUGUAGUGUAGAACAUUAUGACGUAUUUGACUUAUUCUCCAAAGGGACUAGAUGGGGAAUGUUUUCAUGAGCAAAUGAUAUUUGUUGAGCAAGGAAUUGAGCUUGUUUUAUUGCAAGUUUUCAUACUUUCCUAAAAAAUUGAAAUUAUGCUGCACUCAUUCCAUCGCUUAAUGACCUAGUCCACCUUUACCACAUGGACCCUGAGGUUGCUUUCUUGAUAUAUCGCCCUGUGAUGAGACUUCUCAAGUCUCAGAGGAGUCCUGAUGUUUGCUGGCCGUUGGAUGAUAAUAAUACUGCAAAUGAUGCAUCUAUAGAAUUUGAUCUUGUAGAUCAUUCUGGCAGUAUGGUUCUAG